rnacentral:misc_RNA from 1 species
UUCGAGCGUCAUUACAACCCUCAAGCAUAGCUUGGUAUUGGGCUCCGCUGCUUACACAGCGGGCCUUAAAAUCAGUGGCGGUGCGUCGGGCUCCUGAGCGCAGUAAAUAUCCUCGCUUUUGGACCCGUUGGACGCUUGCCAGCAACCCCCAACUUUUUUAGUUUGACCUCGGAUCAGGUAGGGAUACCCGCUGAACUUAA